rnacentral:rRNA from 1 species
GUUAAACGGCCGCGGUACCCUAACCGUGCGAAGGUAGCGCAAUCACUUGUUCUUUAAAUGAGGACUAGUAUGAAUGGCAUCACGAGGGUUAUACUGUCUCCCUUUUUUAAUCAGUGAAACUGAUCUCCCCGUGAAGAAGCGGGGAUCGACAUAUAAGACGAGAAGACCCCAUGGAGCUUUAAACUCAAUAUCAGCUGCUACUAAACAUACCUCAUUAAACAAGCAGAUAUGAAUAUUAGUUUUCGGUUGGGGUGACCGCGGAGCAAAACAAAACCUCCACGAUGAAUGAGUUUUACCUCUAAUCUAAGAACCACAGCUCUAAGAAUCAACAAAUUGACAUUUAUUGAUCCAAAUAUUUUGAUCAACGAACCAAGUUACCCUGGGGAUAACAGCGCAAUCCAUUUCAAGAGCUCCUAUCGACAAAUGGGUUUACGACCUCGAUGUUGGAUCAGGGUAUCCUAGUGGUGCAGCCGCUACUGAAGGUUCGUUUGUUCAACGAUUAAAACCC